rnacentral:lncRNA from 1 species
CAGGAAAGUAACUUCAAAAUAUUCAGUAUAAAUAUUAAUUAACUUAGUUAUUUCCCUUUUUGGAAUAUAGGAUUUUGCUAUUUUUUACUUAAAAAUGAGCUUUUACUUAUUAGAGAAAUCAAAUUAAAAAUGGGGUCACUGUUCAUUUAAGCUCACAAUCUGCCUUUGUAGAUGGGGCAUAUAAGUUUAGGUUACCUAUGAGUUUAAAAUGAUUUUCCUUUCAAUACAAAAAAAAAUGCAUUUUUGCAUCAAAAUGAGAUGAUUUGGAGCUUUUUCAAUAAUCUAAACAUUUUAAAAGUCAUCUGGCCAUAAACGAAUCAAUAUUCUGUUAAUUUUAGUACCCCUGAGCCUCCUUCAGAGACUUAUUUUUGUUGUUGCAAAAACUAAGAUAAAUACUAUACAAUGUUAGGUUAUCAUUACAAAAUACAUGUGCUUAAAUGCAGUAAAGAAUACCAAUAUAUAAAUAUUGAGUUUAUUAUGGGUGAAAAUACACAACUAAUGUGAAACAGCAAACAUGUACUUUAGAGUGUGGUGUAGAUUAAAAAAUAUGCGUAAUUUAUAACUAAAUUGGCAAAAGAGUGUGUGUAGGUAAUUGAUAUAUUUACUUAUAGACUGAAAAUGUUUUAUUGAAAAUGAAAAAAAAACAACAUCAAUUAUGUUUUAUUUAAUUGAUUUUGUAUCUGUCUGGUGAAAACACAUUCAUAUUCUUAUUCACUCACUGAUGAAAAUACAAUUUGGUUUAUGUAGGUUAAAACCUACAAUGACUUUUUAAUGAAAAUGAGAUGCAUAUAUUGUAAUGCAAAUUGUAUUUGUAAAUAAUUCAUACACCUUUUAAAGUCUCUCUUAACUCUUUUCAUAUUUCUUUGUUAUGUUAUCUAUUUGUGUGACAUGUAUUUGUCAAAUUAAG